GACGAACGCUGGCGGCGUGCUUAACACAUGCAAGUCGAACGGGGCGAAGUGAUAGCUUGCUAUUAUGGAGCCUAGUGGCAAACGGGUGAGUAACGCGUAGGCAACCUGCCCUUCAGAUGGGGACAACACCUCGAAAGGGGUGCUAAUACCGAAUGACGUUUCCUGGUCGCAUGACCUGGAAACCAAAGGCCGGGGCAACCGGUCACUGAAGGAUGGGCCUGCGUCUGAUUAGCUAGUUGGUGGGGUAACGGCCCACCAAGGCGACGAUCAGUAGCCGGUCUGAGAGGAUGAACGGCCACAUUGGGACUGAGACACGGCCCAAACUCCUACGGGAGGCAGCAGUGGGGAAUCUUCCGCAAUGGGC
rnacentral:rRNA from 1 species